UACGGAGGAUGCGAGCGUUAUCCGGAUUUACUGGGUGUAAAGGGAGCGUAGACGGCAGAGCAAGUCUGAAGUGAAAGCCCGCGGCCCAACUGCGGGACUGCUUUGGAAACUGCCCGGCUAGAGUGCUGGAGAGGUAAGCGGAAUUCCUAGUGUAGCGGUGAAAUGCGUAGAUAUUAGGAGGAACACCAGUGGCGAAGGCGGCUUACUGGACAGUAACUGACGUUGAGGCUCGAAAGCGUGGGGAGCAAACAGG
rnacentral:rRNA from 1 species